CACACACAUAUUUUUUGCUCUAAUUGAUGGUGGUAUCAUCGCCAUCUUAUCAUCAUUAAUGGCUAUCACGUUUCGCCAACAAAACAAACGACGAUGAUUACCACUGUCCAUUUUAUAAUGAUGAUUCAUGUUUUACGUGUGUAUGUGUGGUGACAAAAUUACGAAAGAUGAAAAAAAAUCAUCCAUAUCUUUUAAAAUACAGGAAACAAAAUCAUUAUCUUAAAAGCAAACCAUAUGUGUCUAGCUGCCCGUCUAAAUGGAUUUCAUCCAAAUUUUUUCCUGUAAAUUAAUCCUGGAAAUGGAUUAGAAUUUUUUCCUCUCUUCUGCAAAUCACACCACCUCUCUUAAAGCGGAGUCAAAUUACCAUAAAAUCGUGGUCUUCGGUGACGAUUUGUUUUUGGUUGUUGUUGUUGUGAUUGUUGUUGUUGUUGUUGUUGUGGUUGUUGUUGUGUACAAUCACAAUUACAAUCAUUGGCAUACGAUAAAUCGAUCAAAAUCAUCAACAGAAACAUUAUGAUCAUGAUCAUUUGUUGUCCAUUGAUUGUGGAUAAUUUUUUCAUAAACAAUGUGAUUUCCAUCAAUAAAUGUCGAUAUAAUUGUUUGGCUAUGUCCAUCAUCAUUUUUUUUUUUAAAUCACAAAUAACUUGAAUAUUGGUUUUUCUACUUGAGAAAUGCGCAAAUAGAUUCUAGACGAGAAAGAAAGAAGCAAAACAAAACAAAAAACGGUUAAUGUUCAAUGUUCCAUUUGCACGAGAGUAAAUAUACAGCAUUGGAACAAUUGUUCAACUUUUUCAUUGUGAUUGCUGAUUAUUUAAUAAAAAUUUCUAAUUUGAAUUCAAAA